CUUCCCUGUGAAACAAAUUCCUCUUAAGUUGAAGCCAUACCUAUUUACUUGCAUUGCACGCUUCCAAUGUACUCGUCUUUCCAAUUUCCCCUACUUUCAAUCAUUACUUAGCCUUCAUGUUGUUCGAAGAGUCACAUCCCAUUUCUCGAUCAAUGCAGAACAGUUAUCGAGCCACUCCAACAACAAGUCAUCAUCAUUUCAAUACUUGCUUUCUCAAUCCUUCUCGCUAGAACAAAAAAAUGCAUUUGACACUCUUAGUUCAUCUGCAGCAAUCAAUCAAACCAACGUUAUCGCCAUGAGUUCGCAAUCCUCAACUGGUUCCAGCGUUAAGUUAGCCAAGCUAUGAUCUCUGCCCCUUAUCCAUUGGUACUCUCACCCACUGCUCUACCCUAUCUUGAUGCCUCAACUCAGAAUAUGACCAUCCUCUUCAAUGGAAGUUGACCGUCAACAAUCCUGACUUUGGUCAACAAUGUAUUACUAAUCCAUGGUAUCAAUUCUUGGAAAAUAAUGACUUCGACCCUAGGGAUGAGAUAUCCUUCUACUUCAGGACUUAUCAAAGAGUAUGAGAAUUAGUUAUCAGAAAACAGUAGCAUUGGGAUGAUAUUGACUCUGAUUAGAAAUCAUUGACAAGCUGUUGGGUUUCCAUUCAUCUUAUUUCAGUAUAUUACCGAAUGCAAAAUUACAACCGCAACUUAUUUCAUUUUUUUUCUA